rnacentral:rRNA from 1 species
UACGUAGGGUGCAAGCGUUGUCCGGAAUUAUUGGGCGUAAAGAGCUCGUAGGCGGUCUGUCACGUCGGCUGUGAAAACCCGAGGCUCAACCUCGGGCCUGCAGUCGAUACGGGCAAACUAGAGUACUGCAGGGGAGACUGGAAUUCCUGGUGUAGCGGUGAAAUGCGCAGAUAUCAGGAGGAACACCGGUGGCGAAGGCGGCAUCCUGGACCAACACUGACGCUGAGGAGCGAAAGCCAGGGGAGCAAACGGG